GAUCAUGGCUCAGGAUGAACGCUGGCGGCGUGCCUAAUACAUGCAAGUCGAACGCGCAGCGAGAGGUGCUUGCACCUUUCAAGCGAGUGGCGAACGGGUGAGUAACACGUGGAUAACCUGCCUCAAGACUGGGGAUAACAUUUGGAAACAGAUGCUAAUACCGAAUAAACUUAGUAUCGCAUGAUAUCAGUUAAAAGGCGCUACGGCGUCACCUAGAGAUGGAUCCGCGGG
rnacentral:rRNA from 1 species